UGAGGAAUAUUGCACAAUGGGCGAAAGCCUGAUGCAGCAACGCCGCGUGAGGGAGGAAGGCCUUCGGGUCGUAAACCUCUUUUCUGGGGGAAGAGGAAGGACGGUACCCCAGGAAUAAGUCUCGGCUAACUACGUGCCAGCAGCCGCGGUAAAACGUAGGUGGCGAGCGUUAUCCGGAAUUACUGGGCGUAAAGCGCACGCAGGCGGCAGAGGAAGUCGGACGUGAAAGCUCCUGGCUCAACUGGGAGAGGACGUUCGAAACUCUUCGGCUUGAGGCUGGGAGAGGGGUGUGGAAUUCCCGGUGUAGUGGUGGAAUGCGUAGAUAUCGGGGGGAACACCAGUGGCGGAAGCGGCACCCUGGCCCAGACCUGACGCUGAGGUGCGAAAGCGUGGGUAGCAAACAG
rnacentral:rRNA from 1 species